rnacentral:rRNA from 1 species
UACGUAGGGUGCGAGCGUUGUCCGGAAUUACUGGGCGUAAAGAGCUCGUAGGUGGUUUGUCGCGUUGUCCGUGAAAACUCACAAGCUUAACUGUGGGCGUGCGGGCGAUACGGGGCAGACUGGAGUACUGCAGGGGAGACUGGAAGUUCCUGGUGUAGCGGUGGAAUGCGCAGAUAUCAGAAGGAACACCGGUGGCGAAGGCGGGUCUCGUGGGCAGUGAACUGACGCUGAGAAGCGAAAGCGUGGGGAGCGAACAGG